rnacentral:rRNA from 1 species
CAGUUAAAGCGGAGGAAAAGAAACUAACAAGGAUUUCCAUGGUAACUGCGAGUGACCUGGAAUUAGCCCAACACUGAAUCUUAUAUUCUUGCAAUAUUGAGAGUUGUAGUGUUUUGGUUGUGUUUUUGACGAUGGAUUUUACUUCAAAUUCGCUUGAUUGCGAUGUUGUCUAUAGAGGGUGUUAGGCCCGUUGAAGUGAAUGAAGUUGUUAUUAAUGCUUCCUAUGAGUCGGAUUGUUUGUGAAUGCAGUCCCAAUUAGGUGGUAGAUUCCAUCUAAGGCUAAAUACUUGUCUGAGUCCGAUAGUUAACAAGUACCGUGAGGGAAAGUUGAAAAGAACUUUGAAGAUAGAGUUAAAUAGUACGUGAAAUUGUUUAUAGGUAAUCGAGUAGAGCCGAAGGGGUGGUGUUUAGAAAUCAAUGUAGUUGAUGUAGGUGUAGUUAUUGGAAAUCCGUCAAAAGAUUCUGGUAAUUUUCUAUUUUUCAUUUUCUGCAUGCACUUUUUAUUCGUCACAUGUGAGACCGGUAUUUCUGUUUUUCUGUCGUAACGUUGAAGUUGAUCGGUAUUUUUUGUAUCGGUUUUAUAGCUUGUUGCAUAAGGAGAUGGUUUACUGAUAAAUGCGGGGCUAUGCGGAUGCUUGUUUUUGGUUUUUGAAACUUUGUAAACACGCCAGUGAUURUGAGGGGUCGAUUAUUGGAUUCAGGUGUUUGUUGGUCACGAGAGUCAUCACUGUAUAUGUAGGCAAUCUACUUGUCCCGUCUUGGACCAAGGAGUUUUAUUUGUUUGCGAGUCAAAGGGUCUUACGAAACCCCAGGGCGUAAUGAAAGUAUAGGUUUAUUUUAAUAAGCUUUAAUGUGAUCCUAUGACAACUCAUAGGCGCAACAUUGACCUGUCCGUAAAUGUUCGCAUUUGGGCAGAGUCCGAGCAAACAGGUAGAGACCCGAAAGAUGGUGAACUUUAUAUGCGCAUGUUGAAGUCAGACGAAAGUCUGAUGGAGGACAGAAGCGGUUCUGACGUGCAAAUCGAUCGUCAGACGUGUAUAAAGGGGCGAAAGACUAAUCGAACCAUCUAGUAGCUGGUUCCCUCCGAAGUUUCCCUCAGGAUAGCAGGCACUUGAUACGCAGUUGUAUCUGGUAAAGCGAAUGAUUAGAAGUAUUUGGAUCAUAAUGGUCUAAACUUAUUCUCAAACUUUAAAUGGGUACGAGGUAUGGCUCUCUUUGUUGGAGUUGUACAUUUUAAUGCAAGUGCCUAGUGGGCCAUUUUUGGUAAGCAGAACUGGCGAUGUGGGAUGAACCAAACAUUCAGUUAAGGUGCCUAAUGUUAUGCUCAUGAGAUACCACAAAAGGUGUUGGUUGAUAAAGACAGCAGGACGGUGGACAUGGAAGUUGUCAUCCGCUAAGGAGUGUGUAACAACUCACCUGCCGAAUCAACCAGCCCUGAAAAUGGAUGGCGCUGUAGCGUAAAACCUAUACUGGAUCGAUAUUGCAAGCUUAGUAGCGAGUAWGUGAUAUCGUGUAGGAGGGUGCUGUUGUUGCGUUGAAGCUACUGGUGUGAAUCAGAGU